rnacentral:rRNA from 1 species
CGCUGAACUUAAGCAUAUCAUUAAGCGGAGGAAAAGAAACUAACAAGGAUUCCCCCAGUAACGGCGAGUGAAGCGGGAAGAGCUCAAGCUUAAAAUCUCCAUACUUGUAUGGCGAAUUGUAGUCUAUUGAGGCUGUUGUCAGCAUCGCGAUUGGGGACAAGUCCCUUGGAAAAGGGCAGCAUAGAGGGUGAUACUCCCGUCUCUGCUCCAAUCUGCGGUGUGUACGAUACGCUUUCUUUGAGUCGAGUUGUUUGGGAAUACAGCUCAAAGUAGGUGGUAAAUUCCAUCUAAAGCUAAAUAUUGGUGCGAGACCGAUAGCGAACAAGUACCGUGAGGGAAAGAUGAAAAGAACUUUGAAAAGAGAGUUAAAGAGUACCUGAAACUGUUGAAAGGGAACCGUAUCGUUUCCAGUGUUGUAUCCUAUGCAUAUUUCAUUCGUGGAGCAAUUUGCGGGUGCCCUGUGCAUGGGUGUGACGUCAGGGUCAGUUUGUAUGCUGCGGGAGAUGGUCAGUGAGGAGGUGCGUCACUUCGGUGAAAGUUAUAUCUCGCUGUCUAGUAGCCGUGGUUGAGACUGAGGUGCCUACAACAUGCCUUAAGGUUCCGUGUUGUCUCGUGUUGGUGACUGCUUUGAUAGCUUGCUAUGUUUGUGGUUUAUUAGUGCGAUUGAUGAUGCGGAUAACUUUUGCUGUUCGGGACUCUGGCGAAAUGGAGCGAUACGACCCGUCUUGAAACACGGACCAAGGAGUCUAACAUGUGUGCAAGUAUUAGGGCGUGGAAACCCAAAUGCGUAAUGAAAGUAAAUGCUGCUUAUGCAGCUGUGGUAGGAAAGGGCUGUCAAGGUCCUGGCACUAUCGACCGAUCAUGAGCCUACGGGCAAAAGAUUUGAGUAUGAGCAUAUAUGUUGGUACCCGAAAGAUGGUGAACUAUGCCUGAAUAGGGUGAAGCCAGGGGAAACUCUGGUGGAAGCUCGUAGCGAUUCUGACGUGCAAAUCGAUCGUCAAAUUUGGGUAUAGGGGCGAAAGACUAAUCGAACCAUCUAGUAGCUGGUUCCCUCCGAAAUUUCCCUCAGGAUAGCAGCAACUUUUUACGAUAGUUUUAUGAGGUAAAGCGAAUGAUUAGAGGCCUCGGGGAAGAAACUUCCUCGACCUAUUCUCAAACUUUAAAUGGGUAAGACCUGUGGGUUUCUUAAUUGAACCUGUGGACGUGAAUAUCCAAGUUGUUAGUGGGCCAUACCGGGUAAGCUGGUCUGGCG